rnacentral:rRNA from 1 species
CCUACGAGUGGGCAGCAGUGAGGAAUAUUGGUCAAUGGGCUUACGCCUGAACCAGCCAAGUCGCGUGAGGGAAGACUGCCCUAUGGGUUGUAAACCUCUUUUGUCAGGGAGCAAUUGGCGCUACGUGUAGCGUUAUCGAGAGUACCUGAAGAAAAAGCAUCGGCUAACUCCGUGCCAGCAGCCGCGGUAAUACGGAGGAUGAGAGCGUUAUCCGGAUUUCUUGGGUUGAAAGGGUGCGUAGGCGGAAUGCCAAGUCAGCGGUAAAAUCGCGGGGCUCAACCUCGCUCCGCCGUUGAAACUGGCGUGCUUGAGUGGGCGAGAAGUAUGCGGAAUGCGUGGUGUAGCGGUGAAAUGCAUAGAUAUCACGCAGAACUCCGAUUGCGAAGGCAGCAUACCGGCGCCCAACUGACGCUGAAGCACGAAAGCGUGGGUAUCGAACAGGAUUAGAUACCCGAGUAGUC